GGAAAACAGAUGGGCGUCAUCAUGAGGUUGACCGGUUUGAACCAUUUCGGAUUUCCCAUAUUAUAUUUCUUAUGUGCGUUUGGAAGAUCAUCACAACAAGCAGUGUGUAACGACCCAGCCGCACUUGGUAUGAAGAAUCGUACAAUCGAAAAGGCGCAGAUCACAGUUCCCGGCGUUCAAGCUGAACACAUGGACAAGUUACGAUAUGACACUGGGGAAGGACUUUGUAUAGACGCUAAUUCGCCUGAAAAGUCAAUCACCAUCGACUUCCAAAACAGCGGCCAGGCACGCGGGAUAUUAUCCGGCGUUGCCGUCCAGUUACCGAAAAGUUUGCGAGCAGGAGAUGGUUAUGUUAAGCAGUACACACUUAGUUAUGAGGACAGCAAUGGGACCCAGCAGAACUUCCCGGGUACUUACAAUGGACCAUCGAACCCAGGAAUUGCAUUGAACAAUUACGAACGUAGCGAUUUUGCAACAACGAUCUAUAAAGCAAUGAAUAAAGUAAUCAUCAAGAUAUCGGACUAUGACAUAACCAAGCAACGUAUAUGCCUGAGGAUUGAAUUGUAUGGUUGCCAAGAAGGUAUUUGCAACCCCACUUGCAAAAAUGGAGGUAAAUGCAUAAACGAUAACAUGUGCAAGUGUCCUCAAAACUAUGGUACUCGAACGACACAGUGUCAGUACUUUUAUCCAUCAAUGGUUAAAGAUCCUACUAUCACAGUUCUAGAUGACGGAACCGAGAAAAACGAAGUGAAAUUCCAGUGUAACAUUAAUGAUCGCAGACCUAAUGUUACACACACGGCUUCGUGGAUAAUUGACGGUCAACCAGUCAUCCCGAAUGUCAUGCCCAAGCCAGAAAACAGCAACGUAAUCAUGAUCAGUGAACUCCAUCAACGUGACCUGUAUCAUAAUGAUAAGGGAAUAAAAAAGAUCACUCAGGGAUUGAGGUGUGACGUAACGGCAUGUUGGAGUGCAUGUGGUGUGGCUGAUAGUUCACCAAGAAGCAGUAAGACUCUAACACCCACAGUAACGGUUAUUUCUCCGACACCCAUCACACUGGUUGAAGGAGAAAAAAGCAAAGUCUUGAAAGUUACGCUUGGUGGUCCACCCAUUCUCUUCCUUGACCUGUUGCUCGCUAGCAAUCAAUUAUAUGGAACCAAAGACGUCCGUUUGGAGGCUCAGUUUGAUUUGAACGACAAGCACUACACUUGUGCUAAAGUAUCGGUCGCUGUUGAAAAGACGAAGGAACACUGCGGUCUAAACCUGACAAGCAAGAAUUGGCAUGGAACGCAUGAGAUUCACGUAAAGGCGGUAAUGGACGGACUUUACAUCGCAGCAGAUGUUAAGCGGAAGCUCUAUGUCGUAAUCAAACAUAUCGACAACCAUGGCAAUGCGGUGUCGAAUGAGAAAGCUGCAGUGGUAAACGUCACUGCAAAGAAUAUUGAUGGUUGGGGAAAAUUAGUCAACAGAAACUCUCAAGCGACAACCGGUUCAGUCUGUUUUUCUCUUAACGAUCCUCAUAUGUCAACCUUCGAUAACCUGCGAUAUGAGGGUCAAUAUGCUGGCGAGUUCACCGCAUAUCGUAACAAGAACUAUAAAGUGAAUGCCUACUUUAUCAAUUGUGCUGAAGCCGCCGGGAUGUGGAGUUAUGCGAAAUGCAACUGUGGUGUGGCGGUUCAAGCUGAAGAUGAAGUCAUUGUGUUCAGCAGCUGUCCCAACAACAAAUUCGAAGAUCCCAAUGUUACAAAGAAGAGGAAGUAUUACUUCAACGCGUAUAUGUUCUUGAAUGAUGAUAAAAGCACCCUGAAUGGUAAACUUCCCUCGGGAACACGUGUUUAUGCUACCGAAGAUGGUAUGGUGUAUUAUGUCUAUCUGCCAACUGGGACAUAUGUAAAGAUAAUGGCCGAAACCGACUAUAGCAAUUCAUAUGCCAAGACUCUCAUUAAUUUUAUUAUUGUACCUUCCAUCUCUGAUAGAGAACAGUCUAAAGGGUUCUGUGGUCAUUUUGAUGGUAAAUCGAGUCAUCCAGGAGAUUUGCGGAAACCAGACGGUUCCGUGUACUCUGGAGAUAUACAUCAGCAUAUGGACGUCUGGCGUGAGACCGGUUGCAGCCUAUUCCACGGUACUGCCAAAGUGACGAAACCAGAUAAUGUCACCGUCUAUUGCCAAUGUAUCGACGACUCUCAUACCUAUGACUGCGGAGAAAACAAGGAUGCCGACCCAUGUCCACCACAAAAUGUGGAAGAGGUAACUAGUGUUCUUAUCAAGGAUUUCUCCUAUCCACCUAAAGAUUGCUCACCAACAAAAGUGAAGAGAUCGGUGUAUCACUCCCCGAAAUUCCUUCAUUUAUCAAAGCGAGCAGUUGUGACGAACCCCCCAGAUGAAGAGGACGACGUCUACCUAUCAUUCAUAUUCAAUGCUUCCUAUGUCGCCAAGAAUCCCUCUUGGUCUACGGAGAGCGACUGGACACAAACGAAGGCGAAGACCUUUUGUGAAGAUUAUUUGCUGAACAAGGACUCAGUUAAGAAUUGCAAACUCUUUUUUGGGACAACGUUCCAGAGUCAUAUUGAGAACUGUAUCGUCGAUAUAAAGCUCACAGAUGGUACCACGUUUGCCGAGGCAACUUUGAAAAACAUCAUAUCGCUAUGUUUAGCGGAGGCUGAGAAGUAUCCUCCAGACGUCACCAUUCUUCCCGGCGGCAUAAGGAGAACGGUACUCUACGACUCGCUAUGCUUGAACGACUGCAGCGACAAUGGAGUUUGCGAAAAUGGCGUGUGCGUUUGCAACUCCGGGUUCUAUGGCAGUGGUUGUUCCCUAACAAAAGACAAGUCUCCAAUCAUCUCCUAUACCUCCCGCGAUGGGCUUUGUAACGUCAAAGGAAGAAGAGACUGUACGCGAUCGGAGAUUUUUGGGACAGGCUACAUCAAAUCAACAGACUUGACAUGUAGAAUAACACCAUACGAUCCCGUCACUGGUGCCCGCGACGAUAAACAACAGUUCAAGACGUACGCCAGAUAUAUCAACUUCAACUUGGUAUUGUGCCCCCACAACGGUACGAAUGGAACUUAUCUGAUUGCCGUCAGCAACAACAACGGCAACGACUACAGUAAAGAUGAACUACUAUUUAUGGCCUACGACUCGGUCUGCUUCAAAUGCUUCAUUGAUCAAGAAGAAAAGAGAGGGCACUGCAGCCAACUGAGCACUGGGUGUACUGUUGGAUCGGGCUGUUACAUGCCUGGAGAAGUGGAUCCCAAAGAAAAAUGCAACAUCUGCAACCCCAGCCAGAGUAUUACCGAAUGGUCUCGAAAUGCAGCCAAUCCCAACUGUCCCCUGGACAACACCGUUGCCAUAAUAGCCGGUGUGACGUCAGCUCUUCUCGUCAUCAUCAUCAUCGUUGUAGCAGUGGGGACUCACAAGUACUGCAGGAGGAAGAAGAAAGUCAGCCCUUCAACUGAAGAUAUCAGAGAGAAAGUUGAACAAGACAAACAAAAGAAUGCUCCUGGACAGACAUGCGAUAUAAAAUAAUGUGUCUUUUUCUUUGAAGUGCUGCCUGUUCUUGCGAAAAGGCAUCCACAAGUCUUGCACGAAACACCUUGCACAGUUUCAUUUCUCUCACACCUUAAGUGUGUUUUUUCCUUUUAGGAUAGGUUAUUUUGUAACAAAUAUUUCACUAUCUGUAGCAUUGACAAAAAAUCACUGUCAUAUAUAUGUAGCAGCAUAGGUAGUGUUCGGUCGAUACGUACAUGCCUUAUGCACCGAUUCUACUUAAGUGGUGUGUCGGUCUUACGCCGGAGUGUGUUAUUUUUGCAUCCUGAAUUUCGCAGCCACGGCAAACCGCGGCGGUUUCCCGCUCAAUAGUGCAAUCGGUCCUUUGAUAUCGUAAACGUAUAGAUGGAUAUCUGAUGACGUCAAGGCGAAUUCGUAAAUACCAUGCGCGCACAAUCUCGUAUCUCUUCAACAUGGUUUUGACAAACCGUCCUCCUGUUGAUACAUGUACAUUACAUAUAUUUCUCUCGAUAACAUAAGGUUGCUUAACCGAUGAUGACUGUUAUUGUGACAAAAUUUUAUCCAAGUUUGUUCUAUCAUAUCAUCCAAGUCACGAUCUCCAAGCCAGUAUCGAAGUGAAACCAAAAACGAUCGCGCGACGUUGAUAUUGUUACGUCACACCAUCCUCUUUUGAAAGUCAUAUGCGCACGCAAACACGGAGAAUUUUAUAGCCAUUUUGCAAACAAAGAUAUCCAUCUAUACAUGUAUUUCCGCGAGCUGGACUCUACAGACAGGCCUACUAAUUAAAGUGAAUAAGUUGGGCAAGAAACAUAGCUCAAAAUCUGUGUGUUGUGUUGAUGGCCAUUGUCAAAUUUAACACAGUUAAAUGACUCAUUUCGACCACGAUCCUUUUAUUAGUCCAGGGCCCGGUUUCUCAAAGAAUCUUAAGUAUUUGUCUUAAGUCAUAAUAUUUUGACUAAGCCAAGUCAAAAACUUAAGUACGAAUCUCAAAGCAUCUUAAGACGAACUUAGCUAAGUUUUCCCAAAAUGACUUAAGUCAGGUGAAACGUGCUGAGCCGGCCGUUUCAGCCAGCCUCCGAUAGUUCCACUAAGACUUCGGGAGUUUCCGUGAGAUUACGAAUAUUCCCGAGUACGUUUCCAAGGAACUCUUCAGCUGGUCGGCAAUGAAGGAGGUCGGAUUGUGAAUGCCACAUCGCGACCACGUGGGAAAUGGGCAUGGCGGGAGAGGCACAUUGAUCUUCGUUUCUGAUGCUCGGCGGUGCGGAUGAUAAUGACCCAUAAUGAUGAAAUUUUCCAAGGAAUUACUAGUAUUUUGUAACUAUGGUGCUCUCAUUAUUGAAACUUACCACCGAAUGUACAUGUAUAUAGCCGAUAAGACAAUAAAUGCGCCACACCCACACCCCCUCUUACAAUCAAGCGCUAUUAGUAUUUACUCCUUUGCUGUCCAAAUCCCCUGGGCCCAAGCGGCCCAAGUAUAUCAAUUACGUUCCGAAAGGAGCCCAUCACAUUAUAAGGACGAAGAUGAAGAUUAAGGAUGUACGGAAAUACGGGCGGCGACUACCGACAGUUAGAACGGAAUUGGUACCAUAUCAUUACUGUUGUGUAUGUAGGCUAGGCCAAGCAACAUUACGCCCGAGAAAAAUGGAGGUAAACAUGGAAGUGCAUGAAGUCAAGCGGGUAAGAGCAACAAAUUGGUCAUCCCAGGAGGAGGCCAUGCUAAUGGAGGCUGUUCGCCUACGUGAGAGGCACUGCAUUGGACGUUUCAGUGGGAUAGGGGACAUUGGGACGGGCUGCGUGUCAAAGGCUUCCAAGAGGGCCGCCUGGGAGGCCGUUGCCGAGGAUGUGAGGUGUGUUCUUCAAGUUUAAUCGUUCCCUGUUGUCUGCUUUAGUCUUCUCGUCGACACACGGCUGGUUGACCAAUAAAUCAAUAAGUUAUUCAUGCCUGGCAUAGUACAAAUAUUACAACUUGACUGGGGGUGAUGUUCCCCGGGCAAACUUUGUGCUAAAAAUUUGUGCCCGUGGUGCACGGACUCAAUGUUGUUGUGUCGUCUGCUUCACCAUGCAUGCAUGCGAUGCGAUGCAUGGUAGACACUCACAAUCCGACUGAAAAACUUCCCUAAAUGCACUCGCCUUACCCCGAAAUUUGUGUGUCCCCAAGUUCAAAUUUCGCCACGCCUUAAACAGACACGAUACUGCCUAUUUUUGCUGUGAAAUCGAACAGAAUCGCACAUCAUUUCCGAAAGAAAACAAACAUUAAUUUUGAGAUCGUUUGGAGGUGUGGUUGGGAGGUGUGACGAUUUCAGCCAAUAGAAGGAAAUCAGGUCACCAUUAGCAUGUAUUAUGUAGAUAAGCGCAGCUGCUGUGUGACUCAGCGUUUGGGGAAUCCCCUAUGUGUUUACCUACUAAUUGGUCACAGCCGUAGAAAAGAUUUCAGAUAUGAAAUAAGAACAAUAAAAACAUGAGUUUUGAUAACAAUCAAUCAAUAUAAUGAUAAAAUAAUAUUUCUCUCACUGUAAAGUGUAAAUAUUAAUACAGUUAAAGAUUUAUGACAAGUGCAUCAAUGCUUUAGACUAGAGUUGACAAGAUCAAUGACAAUGCCAUCAUCAUAUCUGUUUAUCAACAUUUUAGAAAUGGGGACUAUUUAGGCAGGAGCAAAGUGCCAAAAAGUUUAAAUUGGUCAUCUUGAUCUUAAGUACAGUACCUCUCUAUUAUUCAGGGCACCCUUAGGACUGGCAAGUGCUGUCCUUACUUGAGAGGUGCCUGAUUAAAAAGGUCAAAUGUAAUGGAAACAACCACUUUGAUAUUUUUAAAAUGUCAAUGGCAAUGCACUUUUUGUUGUGUGAUGUUACUUUUAGCAUCAUUCUUACAUCUUAGUUCAAAUUUGAACUUGAACUGUUUCGAAAUAUCAUUUUACGUACAGCGCUGCAGGAGUAGUGGUGCGCACAAGUGCAGAAUGUGAAAAAAAGUACAAGAAUAUAAAGCAUGGAGGUAAGUCAUUUUACCAUUCUCACAAAAAAUGAUUAUGUAUCAGGGGCCGGUUGCACAAAAGAAAAAAAUAGUUAAAAAUCACUGUUAGUUUAUCUAGGCGUUAACUUAACUCCAAAAAAUUAAUUUGGGUUGCAAGAAAGAAAAUUAUUUAAAAGUAGCGUUAAGUUAACGCUAACUUUAACUGACCUCCUAACCCCAAGAUAAAUCCCUAUUUUGGAGUUAGUUGAAACAAAAUGGUGGACAAUCAGGCCCUGUUUGUGGCUUUCCAGCCAUUUUUUCAAUCUCCACGGCAUUUUAGAGAAAGAAUCAACCACUUGGAGUUCUUCAAUGACAAAAAACUUUUUAAAAGAUAGCAUUUUUGCAGAGAAACCAUUGUUUUGAUAGUUGAAAUGCUCAGGGAGGACAUUGAAAGUGCGACCAACAGAAGCCAUGCAAUUUCGCCUGAGGUGCAAGUCUUGAUUGCUCUCCGUUAUUUUGCAUCUGGAGCUUUCUUUGAAGUUAUUGGGGACACUUUCGGUGUAGACAAAGCUAGUGUAAGUCGUGUGGUGCACAGGGUGGCUGGCCUGUUAGAUGCUGCACGGGACGAUUUUAUUGUGUGGCCCCAGUCGGUUGAGGAGAGGCGUCGGUCCUUGUGGCCACUCCAAAGGAACUAACCAUUAGAGCAAUUUCAUCCCAUUUGUUUUUUUUCAUUUUGUUUGUCACAUCUGACGAAAACCUGGAUCGUAAGAUCCCAAGUUCAUUUAUAACAACGUCGACUAAAACUUCCGCUUCUGAGUGUGAAAAAUUAGGUUUUCUCUCCCUUUUUGUCUUUUGAGAUGAGACAAUACCACAAUUGAUUUUUUAAGCCUUUUAGCAGUUAAAUUGUCAAUGUUUGACCGCGACGCAUCAAAGAACGCGUCAAGUAGUGAAACUGAAAUUCGGAUAUGAUAUACGGGUUAGUCUUGCGAGUAACUGGUGCGAUGGAAAUUGGUGAUUGACCACGGAAAUUUUUUUAUAAUCGACAAAUUAGACAGACUUUGAUAUUUCCAAUGUUUUCAGCCAACUGGCAGAAAAAACUCAAAACACGCCCCCUAUUACCCAAUUAGCAAAAUUCGAAAUUAAUUUUUUCAUCAAAUAAUUUCUUUAUAUCUGUAGACUUGCCACAGCAAAUAUUUUUUCAAUACCUCUCCAAAUAUGUACUUGAGAGUAAAAAACAUGCACUCGUCUAAUUGAUAGGCCUCGACCCUCCAACCUAUGAAUAUUCAUUAGUGGUCUUGUCUCAAUGAAGGUACAUUUCAGGGGUUAACAUUUUGAGAUUUUUUUCAAACUAAUGUAGAUGACAUCCCACAACUCUCCAACAAAGGAAAGUCAUAUCUGGACAUUUUUGGAGAAAUGAGAGACAUUUCAAAGAGUGGUACAACUGUGCCAAAGCGACGAAAGAGGACAAAAUCGACAAAAAGUCAUGAUUUUGCAGCCAACAGCACCAAAUUCAAAGACCUGCCCUGGCCAGAAUAAGCAAGCUAUGGAGCUGAAAAUUUAGGAUGUGAUUUAGGAAUAUCUUUGCUGCUUAGGGCACAACUUUCAGAAUCAAGGCCUAAGUAGUUUCAAAGAAAUUACAAAAUGAAUGGCAACACAACAAGACUUGUAAAAAUGAAACCGAACUUAGACCGGGGUUAGGUUGACUCUUAUUUGGGUCAAAUUAAGUUUUUUUCUCAUUAUUUUAGCUUGUUUUGACCUUAAAUCAUCAGCAAUACAAUAUUCUAAAUGAAUUAGAGUGAUUUGAGCACAUUCAAAUUUUUCACUAUAUUGACCCAAAAUGUAGUGUAAAUAGAGACAAUACCACAAUUGAUUUUUUAAGCCUUUUAGCAGUUAAAUUGUCAAUGUUUGACCGCGACGCAUCAAAGAACGCGUCAAGUAGUGAAACUGAAAUUCGGAUAUGAUAUACGGGUUAGUCUUGCGAGUAACUGGUGCGAUGGAAAUUGGUGAUUGACCACGGAAAUUUUUUUAUAAUCGACAAAUUAGACAGACUUUGAUAUUUCCAAUGUUUUCAGCCAACUGGCAGAAAAAACUCAAAACACGCCCCCUAUUACCCAAUUAGCAAAAUUCGUAAUUAAUUUUUUCAUCAAAUAAUUUCUUUAUAUCUGUAGACUUGCCACAGCAAAUAUUUUUUCAAUACCUCUCCAAAUAUGUACUUGAGAGUAAAAAACAUGCACUCGUCUAAUUGAUAGGCCUCGACCCUCCAACCUAUGAAUAUUCAUUAGUGGUCUUGUCUCAGAUGAAUGAUUCUCUAUGGAGGCAGCCAUCUUGCAUGUCUUGCUUUCAAUAUGAGGACCAAAUGCAUUAUGGGAAAUGUCCCUAGCAACUAACAUUGAUUUACUUAAAAGUAGCGUUAGUUAACAUUGGGCCUAACAUUGAUUUGUGAAACUCAAUUUUAGCGUUAUGUUAGCUAACGCUAAGUUAGGGACUUUAACAUAAAAAGAUAAACUAACAUACUUUUAUCACCAUAACUUUUGUGAAACCGGCCCCAGAAGUCAAGAGUUCAGUUCACGCAGCUGUAGGGUUAAGACUUCAGUAGAAAGCACCAACAUUUUGCAAAAAGUCAGAUAAGGCCCUGUUCCAAUACCAGUAAAGAGAAAGGUAAAAGUGAAGGCCUACUAACCAUGCUAACUAUCAAUACCACAUGAAAACAUUUUGACAAUAAUAGAAUCCUUAUCAAGGCCUGCAUGUAGGCAUACCCUUACGAAAAUACUUGCAUUUAUGUAAUUGGUCAUUUAGUUUAUCUAUUAGUUUGCAAAAUAUCUUAGGAAUGUAGGAGGUUGAUAUGAUUAAAAUGAUCAGGACUGUAUUGCAUUUAAUAGCUGAAAUAAAUAAGUUGUUUUCAUUCAUUUUCAGCACGGGCAAAAAUGGACGAAAUGCGUCAUCCAGCCACUGGUGGUGGGGGACGUCCACCACCACCAACUGAUGCUGAAGAGGCCUACUACACCAUGAGAGAAGGUGAUCCGAGCAUCAAGGGCCUUAUUAGUGGGUUCGACUCUGAGAUAGCAUGGACAGCAGUGACGCAAGAUGAACACAAGAAUGUCGUGUUUGACCUCCGACUACCAUUACAAUCAGCUGAUGCUGAGACUUCUGCAGGAGGAAUUGCAGCUGUUCUUCCUAGCUCUACUAUAACUAGUAUGUCCUCCAAGCCUUCAGCAGCCCUAGGAAGUGCCCCUCUUGAACCAAGGUCCACAUGCAAGAGGGUAGCAGGAUCAGCUAUUUUAGCUGCCCCAGCACUAACAUUGACAAGAACAUGAACAAGGCAGAACUUGCCAAUCUGCUUAAAGCCUCGGUCAAGCCACCAAAGCCGAAAAGAUCUAAGGAAGACCUUGAAAAUCUUUCCUACGAGGUCAUGCAAGAGGAGAAGUUGGCAGCACAGCAGCAACAAAAGUUGAUUGACUGUCAGAUAGCUCUUGUUGGCCUUAAAACUGAUUACAUCAAGCUAAAAAUGGCCAAACUGCAUAAGGAUUAAAUCUGCAGUCAAUCAAGUUUUCAUGCCCCUAAGGCAGACGUUACAUAGAGCUUCACGCUUCACUCCUCACGCCUCAUGCUUUACGGUUCACCCGUGAACCGAAGAAUUAACAAGGUAUUUCAAUGAGCCCUGUUAGUUAGGCCCUCACUAUGACUAUGGGCCCAGUUGCUCAAUCAGUGUUAGGUUAACACCAACGUUAGGGCUAAUGCUGGCUUUAAAAUCUCACUAAUGUAAGACUAGAGUUAUCAAUUAAAAUGGUAUUAUAUUAAGGAUUACUGUUAAAAUUUCCAAGUCGAUGAUAUUCAACUGCUACAUAAGUGAGAUUUUAAAUCAAGCAUUAGCACUUAAGUUGUUGUUAACCUAAUGCUGACUGUGCAACCGGGCCCUGAUCUGUCAGACAUUCUAUCAAAAACAUCCAAAUUUGCCACAAAAAGUCACAAACAUCAAACAUGCCAAACAGUACAAGAUCUAUGAACCAAAGUUUUGAAUACUAUUUUUCGUACCUAUAAAAGGCAUAGAUUCACAUAGCACACGGAUUUUGCCCCUAACACAUGUAUUCUUUUAAAUGCAAUUUUAUGGCCAACUCACUUAGGUUUCCUCUUAAAAUAUCAUAAAAAAAACCUUGCAUGCUUGCACAAUCAGAAAUGAAAGAAGGUAUCACGCAAAUGAUCUCUUACAACCCUUCCAGUUACAGUAUCGUCAUCAAUGGGAUCAAGGUUAUAUUGAUUCUCCAAAAGUGGCUCCAUCACAUCCUGCCGCUUCAGUUCAAUGUUGUUGAGGAUUACACAGCAGACUAUCACUUUACAGGCCUGUUCUGGGACCAGCCGAAUUUCAUCGUGCAAGCAAUGGAA